ACAGGGAUGCCUUAGUAACGGCGAGUGAAGCGGCAAUAGCUCAAAUUUGAAAUCUGGAAAGUCCGAGUUGUAAUUUGCAGAGGAUGCUUUUGGCAAGGUCCCUGGAAUGGGACGCCACAGAGGGUAAGAGCCCCGUCUAGUUAGAUGCCGAAGCCUUUUUAAAGCUCCUUCAACGAGUCGAGUAGUUUGGGAAUGCUGCUCAAAGUAGGAGGUAUAUGUCUUCUAAAGCUAAAUAUUAGCUAGAGACCGAUAGCGCACAAGUAGAGUGAUCGAAAGAUGAAAAGCACUUUGAAAAGAGGGUUAAACAGUACGUGAAAUUGCUAAAAGGGAAGCACUUGCAACUAGACAUAGAUGUUUUCAAUCAAUUAAUGUGCUUGGAAUUAUAGGCUAGCAUCGGUUCUGUAGAGAAAAAAGGAACGUAGCCCUCUCUAGAUGUGUAAUGCUCUAUAGUAGACCGAGGAUUGCGCAUUAGUUGCUAGUGACCCGUCUUGAAACACGGACCAAGGAGUCGUCUUCGUAUGCGAGUGUUUGGGUAUAAACCCUUGCGCGAAAUGAAAGUAAACGUAGGUAAGGCACAUUACCGACCGAUCUUGAUGUUCUCGGAUGGAUUUGAGUAAGAGCAUACGGGGCCGGACCCGAAAGAAGGUGAACUAUGCCUGCGUAGGGUGAAGCCAGAGGAAACUCUGGUGGAGGCUCGGUUCUGACGUGCAAAUCGAUCGUCAAACGUGGGGCGAAAGACUAAUCG
rnacentral:rRNA from 1 species